AGUGGAUGGGGAGCAACCUAGUUGUGCGUGUGUAAAGGUAGUGCCAAGAAAAGCGAUGAUCAUGUUGAAAAUCAAUUCCCGGUACCCGAAACCGACACAGGUGGGCAAGUAGAGAAUACUAAGGGGCGCGAGGUAACUCUCUCCAAGGAACUCGGCAAAAUGACCCCGUAACUUAGGGAGAAGGGGUGCCACCGAGAGGUGGUCGCAGUGAAGAGGCCCAGGCGACUGUUUAGCAAAAACAUAGGUCUCUGCAAACUCGAAAGAGGAGGUAUAGGGGCUGACGCCUGCCCAGUGCCGGAAGGUUAAAGAAGUUGGUCAGUUUUAUGAUGAAGCUAGCGACUGAAGCCCCGGUGAACGGCGGCCGUAACUAUAACGGUCCUAAGGUAGCGAAAUUCCUUGUCGGGUAGGUUCCGACCCGCACGAAAGGCGUAACGAUCUGGGCGCUGUCUCGGAGAGAGGCUCGGCGAAAUAGGAUUGUCUGUGAAGAUACGGACUACCUGCAUUUGGACAGAAAGACCCUAUGAAGCUUUACUAUAGCUUGGAAUUGUGUUCGGGCUUCCUGUGCGCAGGAUAGGUGGGAGGCGUAGAAGGUAUUCUUGUGGGGAUACUGGAGCCAACGGUGAGAUACCACUCUCAGGAGGCUAGAAUUCUAACUUAAUUAAGGACAGUUUCAGGUGGGUAGUUUGACUGGGGCGGUCGCCUCCAAAAAGGUAACGGAGGCGUACAAAGGUUCCCUCAGACUGGUUGGAAAUCAGUCGAAGAGUGCAAAGGCAGAAGGGAGCUUGACUGCGAGAAGUACAGUUCGAGCAGGGUGGAAACACGGUCUUAGUGAUCCGACGGUGCUGUGUGGAAGGGCCGUCGCUCAACGGAUAAAAGUUACUCUAGGAUAACAGGCUGAUCUCCCCCAAGAGUUCACAUCGACGGGGAGGUUUGGCACCUCGAUGUCGGCUCAUCGCAACCUGGGGCGGAAGUACGUCCCAAGGGUUGGGCUGUUCGCCCAUUAAAGCGGUACGUGAGCUGGGUUCAGAACGUCGUGAGACAGUUCGGUCCAUAUCCGAUGUAGGCGUGAGAAUAUUGAGAGGAGCCUUCCUUAGUACGAGAGGACCGGGAAGGACGCACCGCUGGUGUACCUGUUAUGAUGCCAAUUGUAAACGCAGGGUAGCCAAGUGCGGAGAGGAUAACCGCUGAAAGCAUCUAAGUGGGAAGCCCACCUCAAGAUGAGUAUUCUGGUGUAAGGUCACGGGAAGACGACCCGUAAAUAGGCACGAGGUGGAAGUGCAGAGAUGUAUGAAGCCGAAGUGUACUAAUAGACCGUCGGCUUGACC
rnacentral:rRNA from 1 species